GCCCAGCUCAGAGAGGAGUGGCGCGGCCGCUCUCAAGAACCUCACGACCCCGCUGAGUUCCCCGGGAGCCCUUCGAGCGGUGCCCCCUCCUUCCAAAGAUUUAGCGGCGGGUGUGGGAGUUCAGAGAAAACCCUUCCGGGAGGGGGCGCGGAGAGGGGCUGCCUACUGUCUGUUUCCCACUGUAGGAACGUCCCACAGAGGCGGCGGCGUUUAAAGGCUGCAGCUCUCGGGACGGGGCACGGAGCGGCCCUUCAGUGUCCUUGGGGCGUCCUCUCGGGUUCCUUGCUGCUCCCGCGGAUCGGUCCUCCUGCCCAGGCGGAGUGGAUUCAUCGCGCCGCCCGCUCUCUGCAGCCCCUUUCGCUCGUUGCUGAAGCACGGCGGGCUGCAACACGCUGCCGCCUUUCCUGCAUUCUCUGGGUAGCGGGGCGGUCGCGCUGCCGAGAGAACAGCGGGUGGGGUGGGGGGAGCGGGAGUAAGGGCACCGCUCGUUCAAACUUGCCGCUGCGUCUUCCUCGCCUGCACGUGACUCCCAAGGAGAAUUGCCGUCUGUUCCAGGCAGUGCAGCGGUGAGUUGUUGGCACCAGAUACCAGCCUUCGCGUCUUCCAGAUCGAUUCGUCAAAUUAGGUGAUAGGAAAAGCAGUCGAAGAAUGCUGGAGAGCUCCAAAGCCUGCGCUCUGUGUUGGGUUAUUUCUUCCUUACAAUCAACGAUUGUCCAACUGAAUUUGUGGGGUUUUCCGUGAUGGAGCAAUGCUAUAUUUACUUUUUUUAUCUUCUCCAACCUGAGUAGAUUAAUUGGUACCGCUUCGGCGGGCAGGUAACGGUGUUCUGUUUAGUCAUGCUGGCCACAUGACCACGGAAUUGUCUACGGACAAACGCCGGCUCUUCGGCUUUGAAACGGAGAUGAGCACCGCCCCCUAGAUUCGUACUUGACUGGACUUAACUUCAAGGGAAACCUUUACCUUUACCUAAUCUGGUGUUCACCAGGUGUGUGGGAGAUAAAAGGUUCCUGUUUAUUCCAGGAUACCAGCUACCAUUGGCAUCAGUGGCUGUUUUUCUCCUGGAGCAAAUAAUAGCUGAGUGGAUACUUUUAUUUAUUAUGAUUGCAGCACUGCACAUAACAAGAUGAUUAUUUCUCAAUCUGGCUCAGAAUCCUAGUGCGGAUUCUGACUGGAAUCUCUGGAUCUGUUCAUUAUAUUAAAAAGUAAGGUAUAUGGCUUUGGUAGUUAUGUGAACUGCAUCAUAUUGAAUUUAAGGCCAUGUAAUGUUUUAUUCUGAGUUAGAUCAUUGGAUUCUUUGCUGUUCUGUGUUUGAUUCAAUUUCACAAUCUUUAAGACCCUUGAGUUCUGCAGGUAAUGUUUCCUACUUGGGAACCAUCCACAGAAUCAGGGGAAGGGAACAGGACUGGGUGGGAUCCUGUCCCAGACCCCUUCUGGAAGGUCCAAUGAUGUCAUUAAGGUCAGCAUGAAAAUCUGAACUGCGCCUCUGAAGGUGGACAGCAGAUACAGCUUUUGGCUGCUGUGCAGUUUCUUAGUAGAAAAAAAGUGUCCAAAGAGUAGCCACGGCUUUGGGUAAUUCAGACUGAGUGCCUGAAAAUAUGGGCCCUUGUCAAGAUCACAUCCCUCUUAAGCAUUCCUUCCCAAGAUGAGGAGGGGGUGAAUCUGUGAGGAGGGUCAUUCAAGUCUCUGCAUGCUUCUUGACAGACAGAAAUGGCUGAACAACUGUUUCCACAGGCAUCCUGGCUGUUACUUCUGGCAGUACUUCUACACAUCUGGAGGGCACCAGGUUCAGGAAGUCUGGCUUAGGUUCUGAAAUCUCCUGACUGAAAUGACUCAUUUGUCCCUUUCUGUCUUUCAGAAAGAUUUGUUUAGAUUUGUACUUUUUAGAAUGGCCAAUCCUCAGUUUAUGAUGUUGAUUUUAGGGCAUUACAGUAGAUUUGUUUUUAAACAUAUAUGUUUAUUAGGUGUGUGAGAACACUUUGGGGAUUGUACAGGCUGAAAAGUGUGUAAUAAUUAUGUAUAAAAUAAUGAAAAGGUAUUUGAAACUCUCCCUGAUUCCAAUCUAACAUUCUGACUCCUAUAUUAUAGUGGCACUAAAUAAUAACAUAUUAAUUAGUGGUGGUUAAUAUACUGAAGUAUAUAGUAGCCUUCCCCAGUUGAAUGCCUCCCCAGAUGUGUGAGCAUCACAACUUCUAGAACCCCCUGGUGGGAUUUGCUUGUGGCUGAGAAGUAGGCCAAGCAUAUCUGGAGGGUGGUCGGUUGGGAAAGACAAGAAUAUUUAUUUCAAAUCUAUUUAUCCUGCUUUUCUACUUAAAGAAGCACUAAAAUACUACAUCAUGUCCAUCUUAAUUCACACCACAUAGUAACAGCUCAAACAGGAAAUUGAUAAUCUUCAGGGUUACAUACAUCAUAGAAAAAAUCACAAUAUUAGCAAGCAUUUCUAAGAGCCCUGUUUGAAAUAUCCUAAAAUAUGCUAUCCUUUUUUGAAAUGUUAAUUCUGUACUUAGUAACAUCGUUUCCAUUUCAUCUAUGGCAGAAAUCACUUCACAGGUUAACCUUGAUAGUUACUACUGCAAUUUAAGUACGUAUGUGUGUGUAUGUAUGAAAAAAAAAAAUUCCUUUUCACCCCUAUGGGCGGUAUGUGUCUUCCUCAACCUUGGGUCCUCUGCCCCCUCUACACACUUCUGGACAGAGAGUUCUGAUGUUGUUCCUGGGAUCUGCGGAGCCACUCUCCCAGCUUAGGAGUCACGGCCCGAGUGCUCUUACCACCACUGGGACCACUCUGGCCUUCCCUUUCCACAUCCUCUCUAGCUCCUCCUUGCUAUUUCUCCAGCUUCUCAUAUGCCUUCUUCCUGAUGUUGCUGGCACUGCUACAUCUAUCACCACUACUGUCUUCUGGUCAGAAAUAUACACGCAUAGAUACACACAGACACACACACUCCUGAUCUAUUAAACUUUGAUUUAAUGGCAGUGACUUCUUGUUCUUUGACAUCCUCUUUUCCCAGUAAGCUUGUGAACUUUGGCUUCCUGUUUUGUCUGAGGUCAUUUUUAUUAUUUUAUUAUUUUAUUUAUUUUCUAUCCCGCCUUUAUUAUUUUUUAUAAAUAACUCAAGGUGGCGAACAUACCUAAUACUCCUUCCUCCUCCUAUUUUCCCCACAACAACAAUCCUGUGAGGUGAGUUGGCCUGAGAGAGAGUGACUGGCCCAUGGUCACCCAGCUGGCUUUCAUGCCUCAGGCGGGACUAGAACUCUAUCAGUCUCCUGGUUUCUAGCCCAGCACCUUAAUGACUAGACCAAACUGGCUCUCUCGAGGCUCUGUCUGAUGAAAGAGAGCAAAGAAAAAUUAUUAAGGUCUAGCCCAUGAGGAAUCCAUUUAUGAGAAAUGGAUACAUAAAAACGGAAUGUAAACCUUAAAAUAGGCAUACCAGAUUUAAAAAACAAACCCUCCGAACUCCCUUCCCCGAUUUUGCCCCAUCGAUAUUACGCAUAAUAUGGCCUCGCAAUCCAUUUUACAGCCUCAACACCCACCUCCAAAUGUGAAAUGUUGCCCUCCAUUGAACUCUAUGAAUUUUUAUAGUAGAUAAAGUAAGUGGUAUGUAACAGUUACUCUGCUUCUACAGCAAUUUUAGCCACAAUGUGUGAACAGAAGGACUGCUAUAUAGCUGAAUGGUUUGAAAGCUCUUAGAGUGUGAUUAAGAACAGAAUCUUGAGAAGCAGGUUUAGGCCAAGAUACAAUUACUGAGUUUGCACAGUUGUCUAUCCAUGGUUUAAGAGAUAAACUGCAACUGACAGGCUUCAGACAUUUUGUUAAGCAACUGGUGUAUCAAUUGUGGUUUAGUAAUCAGUGUAUUUGUGAUGUCAAUCAGUUAUGUUUUAUUCAAUAAACUAUGGUU